UCUUUAGACCUAUGCAACGGCUACUCAGGGAACCGAGUCAGGAUGGGAACAUAGCAGCUCACCUUGUUUAGUUGUGUGCCGUAGGUAUCUGGGGGGAGG
rnacentral:SRP_RNA from 1 species